UUGAAAAGGUACCAACGAUUUCUAUAAAUACCCUGCACACUUAGAUUAGAACAUCAUUAGAAAUCUAAUUAUCAUUCCACUGCAUUCUAAAAUCAUCAAUUUAGUUUGUGUUAAAGAGAGAGUUCAUCACUUUAAGUUUGGUUCACCGUUUCUCGAAGUUUGGCGUGCUACUACAUCGAGAAGAUAGUCGUUGUAUCCUGGGAGACAAACAUCGAUAAUCCGUAAGCACCAGUACAGGGUGAAUCUGUCUUAAGUCUAGAGGAUAUAAUCCUUGCCUCGACUUUGGUUUCGUUUAAUUGGGUUUGCAUAUCUCUUCUUCUCUGUUUGUUUUAUUGCAUUUUAUACACAAGAUUGCCAACAAGUUCGCGUACACACGGGUCUUUCAUGAACUCCUAUUAUUCCAUCAAGUUUAAAACCGCAUGGACGAAGCCAAAGCUAACCCGUACAAAGGCGUAUCUAAGGAGAAGUUGGAAUGAUCCUCUCGGGCAAUGUCAUGUCACACCAUUUGGAUUCUCUGUUAUGAUGAAAAAGCUGAUGGACUUGGCCGAAGGUAAAAUUGUGAUGGCUUUGGAGGGGGUACAAUUUGGACUCUUAAGCAAAUUCAGGUCUUGCAUGUCUUAAAACUUUAUUAAAUGACAAGCCUGCUCAACAAUCUCAAGAGACCAAUGCAUCUGAAUCUUCAUGGCGCGUAAUAAAAGAGGUAAGUUACCACCAGGUCAUUCUAAUUUCUGUUGGGUUUAAUAAUCUGAAUCACAUAACUGGGUUACCAUUUAAUGAAAUGGUAGUCAAUAUACACAAUGUAGCCAUUAAGCAACUCCGAUCCUAAGAGAGACACUAGUAACUGGUGGUAAUAUAUAGUCAACAAAUGCUGAUAAAAGCUUAUUAAAUGAAGCGCACCAGAUUUUCAUGGAUGUUUUCUACGGAAGAAACGUUGAAGGAGGUGCUUGCAGACCGAGUGAUUAUGUGACCAGAAAUAUUGCUGGAUUUACUAUUAGCAAGCCACUAUCAAUGAGAAGUUUAGAAGUUGAGACGGGG